rnacentral:lncRNA from 1 species
ACAUGGAUCAGCAACAAAAAAAUCAUUAUUCACCUUGCUAUGUUCUCAGGACAAUGGGAUAGCAAGGCCAGUUCACCACAAAUUCUAAUGAAUACAAAAUAUACUGCUUAAAAAUGGUAAAAUAUGAUUAAUUAACAAUAUUGUUAAAAUGUAAGGAUCCAGAUAAAAUUAGCUCUAGAUCUUGGACCAGUCUGGGAACACUGAACAAUGACUGAGGACUGAAAUUCCAAAAAUCACUUUAAAAGCUUUCAGGCUGUUCUCUCAGUUAGAAAACUUGUUUGAGAAGAGAAUGAUGUAGAGGGAAAAACAAUAAAGGUCACAUUUCUUUGAAGACUUACACAGUGUGUUUAACAAUAACUGGGUCUCCAAGGAUGUCAUUCUUUCAUUUCAGGAUAUCAAAUCAGUACAGUAAAAGUGAAAAUGUAGAAAAUGGUUUAGCCAGAAAUUGAAUUAUUUCAGAAGUCAAAAGGGAUAAUUUCAUGUUAGUAAUUUUCUGUCUGCUGUAAUUACCCAUAUUUAAACAGUUGGUAAACUAUUUAUAAAGAGUUAUGUGGGUACUCAGAGUAACACUCUUUUCCAAGGAAUCUGUAGAUGGGUGGAUGCCCACAGCACAUCUGGGGAAAGCUUGCUUGGCUGAUGUGUCACCACAAGCCACUAAGAUAUAAACCAGAUGCUGAAGCUCCAGAAUGGACUACUAACUCUCCCAGGAGAGAUUUGAUCAUGGUUUGGCUGUUACAAAGUGCAAUGAAGUAGUGCCCUUCAGUCAACUGAAAAUAAUCAGUAGGAGAGAGGCUUUGGUGCAUGGACGAAUCCAAACCUUGUGUUGCUUUCAUGCUUUUUUGUGCACUGUCAUGAAUUUUUCAGCAAAUUAUACAGUAACAGAAAUUAUAGCAGACAUCAUUAACUCUUGGCAGGACAUAUUCUCCCUGGACAAGACCAACAGUAUCCUCUCCAGACAUCUAUCGAGGUCUUUUUUGAGGUUUAAAGGCCUCCAAGGGAGAGAUUUGUCCCCUGCAUUUAUAAAAUAAUAGCACAGUCGAGCACAACUUCAGUUCCCUUCGGGAUGUUUGUGUGCUGGGAAGAGAAGCAAUAUUUAUUUCAUUAAACCAAAUAAAGUAAACUGAAGAUUAAAAUUAAUAUAUUGG